UCAAGCUACAAAGGGCGCAUGGUGAAUGCCUUGGCAUCAGGAGCCGAUGAAGGACGUGAUAAGCUGCGAUAAGCUUCGGGUAGGCGCACAUAGCCUGAGAUCCGAAGAUCUCCGAAUGAGGAAACUCACAUGGGAAACCCCAUGUAUCGUUAAGUGAAUACAUAGCUUAAUGAAGGUAACCCAGGGAACUGAAACAUCUAAGUACCUGGAGGAAGAGAAAGAAAAAUCGAUUUUCUUAGUAGCGGCGAGCGAAAGGGAAAGAGCCCAAACCGGAAACUUGUUUCCGGGGUUGUGGACAUAACAUAAAAGUGGAGGCUAUUGUAACUGAAGAGAACUGGAAAGUUCCACCGUAGAAGGUAAUAGUCCUGUAAGUGAAACGAGAAGACCACGAGUUAUGAUCCAGAGUACCACGAGACACGUGAAACCUUGUGGGAAGCAGGGAGGACCACCUCCCAAGGCUAAAUACUACCUGAUGACCGAUAGUGAAGCAGUACCGUGAGGGAAAGGUGAAAAGAACCCCGGGAGGGGAGUGAAAUAGAACCUGAAACCGUGUGCCUACAACCGCUCAGAGCCCCUUAUGAGGGUGAUGAGGUGCUUUUUGUAGAACGAGCCAACGAGUUACGGUAUGUAGCAAGGUUAAGUACUUAAGGUACGGAGCCGAAGGGAAACCGAGUCUGAAUAGGGCGACUAGUUGCAUGCCGUAGACCCGAAACCGGGUGACCUAUCCAUGGCCAGGUUGAAGCGAGGGUAAAACCUCGUGGAGGACCGAACCACGUUGCUGUUGAAAAAGCAUGGGAUGAGCUGUGGAUAGCGGAGAAAUUCCAAUCGAACCCGGAGAUAGCUGGUUCUCUCCGAAAUAGCUUUAGGGCUAGCGUCGAGUAUGAGUAGUGGAGGUAGAGCACUGAAUGGGCUAGGGGGCAUAGCGCUUACCGAACCUUAUCAAACUCCGAAUGCCACAUACUUUGAGCUCGGCAGUCAGACUACGAAUGAUAAGAUCCGUGGUCAAAAGGGAAACAGCCCAGAUCGUCAGCUAAGGUCCCAAAGUGUAAGUUAAGUGGGAAAGGAUGUGAGAUUUCUAAGACAACUAGGAUGUUGGCUUAGAAGCAGCCAUUCAUUAAAAGAGUGCGUAAUAGCUCACUAGUCGAGAGAUCUUGCGCCGAAAAUGUAACGGGGCUAAACUUACCACCGAAGCUACGGGCUUGAACUUAGUUCAAGCGGUAGGAGAGCGUCGUAACCGGGCUGAAGUCGUACCGUAAGGAGCGGUGGACUGGUUACGAGUGAGAAUGUUGGCAUCAGUAGCGAGAUGUGGGUGAGAAUCCCACAGGCCGAAAACCUAAGGUUUCCUCAGGAAGGUUCGUCCGCUGAGGGUUAGUCGGGACCUAAGCCGAGGCCGAAAGGCGUAGGUGAUGGACAACUGGUUGAUAUUCCAGUACCACUACCAUCGUUAUUAUCGAUGGCGUGACGCAGGAGGAUAGUGUGUGCUAGCUAUUGGAUGCUAGUCUAAGCGUUUAGGCAGUGAGAGUAGGCAAAUCCGCUCUCAUAAUGCUGAGGCGUGAUGGGGAAGGUUCUACGGAACCGAAGUACAUGAUUCCACGCUGCCAAGAAAAGCGUCUAGAGAGAGAAGUAGUGCCCGUACCGCAAACCGACACAGGUAGGUGAGGAGAGAAUCCUAAGGCCGGCGGAAGAAUUACAGUUAAGGAACUCGGCAAAUUGACCCCGUAAGUUCGCGAGAAGGGGUGCCUACGAGAGUAGGCCGCAGAGAAUAGGCCCAAGCAACUGUUUAGCAAAAACACAGGUCUCUGCUAAAGCGUAAGCUGAUGUAUAGGGGCUGACGCCUGCCCGGUGCUGGAAGGUUAAGGGGAACACUUAGCGCAAGCGAAGGUGUGAACUUAAGCCCCAGUAAACGGCGGCCGUAACUAUAACGGUCCUAAGGUAGCGAAAUUCCUUGUCAGGUAAGUUCUGACCCGCACGAAUGGCGUAAUGACUUGGGCACUGUCUCAACUGUAAAUCCGGCGAAGUUGUAGUGCGAGUGAAGAUGCUCGCUACCCGCGAUUGGACGGAAAGACCCCGUAGAGCUUUACUGUAGCUUAGCAUUGAGUUUUGGUAUUGUCUGUACAGGAUAGGUGGGAGACUAGGAAACCAGGGCGUCAGCCUUGGUGGAGUCAACCUUGGGAUACCACCCUGACAGUACUGAAAUUCUAACUGGCGGCCAUGAAUCUGGUCACAGGACAUUGUUAGGUGGGCAGUUUGACUGGGGCGGUCGCCUCCUAAAAAGUAACGGAGGCGCCCAAAGGUUCCCUCAGAACGGUCGGAAAUCGUUCGAAGAGUGCAAAGGCAGAAGGGAGCCUGACUGCGACACCCACAAGUGGAGCAGGGACGAAAGUCGGGCUUAGUGAUCCGGUGGUACCUCGUGGGAGGGCCAUCGCUCAACGGAUAAAAGCUACCUCGGGGAUAACAGGCUGAUCUCCCCCAAGAGUCCACAUCGACGGGGAGGUUUGGCACCUCGAUGUCGGCUCGUCGCAUCCUGGGGCUGAAGUAGGUCCCAAGGGUUGGGCUGUUCGCCCAUUAAAGCGGCACGCGAGCUGGGUUCAGAACGUCGUGAGACAGUUCGGUCCCUAUCCGUCGCGGGCGUAGGAAAUUUGAGAGGAGCUGUCCUUAGUACGAGAGGACCGGGAUGGACUGACCUCUGGUGUACCAGUUGUUCCGCCAGGAGCACAGCUGGGUAGCUAAGUCGGGAAUGGAUAAACGCUGAAAGCAUCUAAGCGUGAAGCCAACCUCAAGAUGAGAUUUCCCAUAGCGUAAGCUAGUAAGAUCCCUUGAAGAACACAAGGUUGAUAGGUCGGGGGUGUAAGCAUGGUAACAUGUUUAGCUGACCGAUACUAAUAGAUCGAGGGCUUGACCAA
rnacentral:rRNA from 1 species